ACGUGGGUAACCUGCCUGUAAGACUGGGAUAACUCCGGGAAACCGGGGCUAAUACCGGAUGCUUGUUUGAACCGCAUGGUUCAAACAUAAAAGGUGGCUUCGGCUACCACUUACAGAUGGACCCGCGGCGCAUUAGCUAGUUGGUGAGGUAAUGGCUCACCAAGGCAACGAUGCGUAGCCGACCUGAGAGGGUGAUCGGCCACACUGGGACUGAGACACGGCCCAGACUCCUACGGGAGGCAGCAGUAGGGAAUCUUCCGCAAUGGACGAAAGUCUGACGGAGCAACGCCGCGUGAGUGAUGAAGGUUUUCGGAUCGUAAAGCUCUGUUGUUAGGGAAGAACAAGUGCCGUUCAAAUAGGGCGGCACCUUGACGGUACCUAACCAGAAAGCCACGGCUAACUACGUGCCAGCAGCCGCGGUAAUACGUAGGUGGCAAGCGUUGUCCGGAAUUAUUGGGCGUAAAGGGCUCGCAGGCGGUUUCUUAAGUCUGAUGUGAAAGCCCCCGGCUCAACCGGGGAGGGUCAUUGGAAACUGGGGAACUUGAGUGCAGAAGAGGAGAGUGGAAUUCCACGUGUAGCGGUGAAAUGCGUAGAGAUGUGGAGGAACACCAGUGGCGAAGGCGACUCUCUGGUCUGUAACUGACGCUGAGGAGCGAAAGCGUGGGGAGCGAACAGGAUUAGAUACCCUGGUAGUCCACGCCGUAAACGAUGAGUGCUAAGUGUUAGGGGGUUUCCGCCCCUUAGUGCUGCAGCUAACGCAUUAAGCACUCCGCCUGGGGAGUACGGUCGCAAGACUGAAACUCAAAGGAAUUGACGGGGGCCCGCACAAGCGGUGGAGCAUGUGGUUUAAUUCGAAGCAACGCGAAGAACCUUACCAGGUCUUGACAUCCUCUGACAACCCUAGAGAUAGGGCUUCCCCUUCGGGGGCAGAGUGACAGGUGGUGCAUGGUUGUCGUCAGCUCGUGUCGUGAGAUGUUGGGUUAAGUCCCGCAACGAGCGCAACCCUUGAUCUUAGUUGCCAGCAUUCAGUUGGGCACUCUAAGGUGACUGCCGGUGACAAACCGGAGGAAGGUGGGGAUGACGUCAAAUCAUCAUGCCCCUUAUGACCUGGGCUACACACGUGCUACAAUGGACAGAACAAAGGGCAGCGAGACCGCGAGGUUAAGCCAAUCCCACAAAUCUGUUCUCAGUUCGGAUCGCAGUCUGCAACUCGACUGCGUGAAGCUGGAAUCGCUAGUAAUCGCGGAUCAGCAUGCC
rnacentral:rRNA from 1 species